UGCGUAGGCGGAAUAUUAAGUCAGUGGUGAAAUCCUGCGGCUCAACCGUAGAACUGCCAUUGAUACUGAUAUUCUUGAAUGUAGUUGAGGUAGGCGGAAUGUGUAAUGUAGCGGUGAAAUGCUUAGAUAUUACACAGAACACCGAUUGCGAAGGCAGCUUACUAAACUAUGAUUGACGCUGAGGCACGAAAGCGUGGGGAGCGAACCGGAUUAGAUACCCGAGUAGUCC
rnacentral:rRNA from 1 species